rnacentral:lncRNA from 1 species
CCCUCAGACUGCACCUUAGUCAGACAUGGCUCCUAAAUACAUCUCCCAAAAAAUUUGGAUCUCUGUCACAGUACCUUCUCUUCCUGAAGCAAUUUCCUUCUUCUCUCUUCCUCUCUCUCGAAUCCUAAAAUUAAAUUUUAAAAAAAAUAAAGAAAAACUUCUAUUGUGGCUGUUGGCUUGCUUCUGCCUGCCCCCUCUGUUGUUUUCC